AAAACGCAGCGCGGCCUUCUCUACCUCUCUCCACACCCCUCAGCCUGGCCUCCCUGUGACUUCCCUGGGAUUAUGCUUCCUGCUCUUCACCCCUAUCCAGUCCUGAUAGGUUCCAGCUGCGUGACCUCCACUUAGAGACAGGGUCUUUCUAAGUUGCUGAGGCUGGCCUUGAACUUGCCAUCUUCCUGCCUCAGUCUCCAAGUCACUGGGACUACAGGUGUGCACCACCACACGAAGCACACAACAAAUCUCCUAUAAAGAGCCACAAAGUAAAUACUUCAGGUUUUGAGGAUCCUGUUCAUGACUAUUACCUAUGGUCCCACAGCAUAAAAGCAACCACAGACAAUAUGUAAAUAAACGUGAUUCUGUUUCAAUAAAUUUUUUUUUUACAAAAUUGAAAUUUAAUUCACAUUUCACAGAAUAUUAGUCUUUUAAUUCCCGCCCACAACCACUGAAAGCUAUCCUUAGCUCAAGGAUAUUCCACUGGGCAGAGAAGGAGAUGGCUCUCAGGCUGACCCCUGCUGUGAGGCUGACCCUGGCUUCUCAGGCCUUGGCCUGGUGGCCCUGGAGUGGCCACACCUCCAACAGCAGGGAUCCCUAGAGGCGGGAGUGGAAGGACCUGAGGUCUUCAGCUGGAGCGUGGAAGUGGCCAAGCAUCCCUCUUGUCAAAGCAGUCCAAGGGCCACCCAGCUUGGCAAGUUGAGAGCAAACCUUCGUCGCAGGAGAUGGCUGGGUCACAUGCGGAGGAGCAUGCGGAAGGCAGACACUGCAUGGCUAGCUUGGGACCUGCCCUGUGAGGCUCAGCAAUGGGGCUUGCAAAGUCCCUGUUCAAGGUGCACUCAAGGACAAGGCUACAGUGGUGUCCUCACUACACUUGAGAGGGGAGCACACAGCCCUGAGAUUCACAGGAGUUUUCUAGAGGAGAAGCCAGUGCAACUGUCAAAACAGGUUUUUUAGACACUGACCUGUUUCCUCAGGUGCAGGAAUGAGGCUCCUAAGGGCACCUACCUUUCAGCAUUGUUCUGAGAAGUUAAUAAAAUGAAACAUGAAGAGUGCCUCA